rfam:Canis lupus familiaris chromosome 2, whole genome shotgun sequence.
GCCUGGGUGGCUCAGUGGUUGAGUGUCUGCCUUCGGCUCAGGACAUGAUCCCAGAGUUCUGGGAUCAAGUCCCACAUCAGGCU